rnacentral:snoRNA from 1 species
AGUCCAUGAUGAGGGACCUUCCUCUGUAAUUCUUUGUAAUGCUCCCAUGACUCAUACAAUGAUUCCCCAUCCUGCUGAGAGAAAGUGGUGAUAUCAUCCCAUUGUGCUU